rnacentral:tRNA from 1 species
UUAGUUAAAGCCAAAAUAGAGGUAAUUUUUUGUUAAGAAAUGAAGUGAUAGUAAUCUAGCUAAA